UCACUCGAUAGCACCCAUAUUGUACAUAUCAGAUGAUAGGCUGACGUUUGUCAAAUGCAUCACCUGUAAUUUUCAAAUCCAUCACUGAUACGAACUGAAUUUCAAAAAAGAGAAAGAAGCAGAAGAUGAACAGAUGAAUAGGAAACAAAGAGAGAAACAGGGCUGAGAAAUGAACAACUUUCCAUUAACAAGAUCAGAUAGAAGACAGAAAUAGAGAAAUAGACAGAUAGAAAGAACUUCCAGAAGAAGAACAGGAGAGAAGACCAAUUAAUUCUCGUUCCCCCUUCCUCAGUACACUAUUGGUGUUUUUAUAUACAAUGAAGAAGUAAGUUGUUACAAUUCAGUUACAGCAACAACUCCAACAGCUCCAACGGGUUUUGGCCCCCUUUCAUCUGCUUGAAUCUCCAGCUAACAAAUCUCCCACUAAGCUCAUGUAAAACAGUAUCGUAUCAAUCAUUCAAUAAUCAUACUUACAAAUCAGAUUAUAGACUGAACCUUAUAAAAUCCAUCACCUGUAAUCGCAUAUAUCUUGUUACACAAACACAUGAAGCAAAACUAUUGCAAAUCCUCACUCAAUGGAACCCAUACCCGACCGAUAAAUAAUAGGCUAAACAUUGCAAAAUCCAUCACCUGUAUGUGCAAUCUUAACUAGCCAACUCCCCUGAUGUUAUGCUUUCGCUUGCUCUUUUUCUGAAUCAGCUCUAAUAGGGCUGCUGCCGCCUGGGAGAAUGUUCUCACCCAAAGAGUUGCUGGCAUUGUUCAUGACUUCAACAUUGUCUUCACCUUUCAAAUUGCCCAAACUGGGGGAAUUAAUACCAGAAGCACACCCUUCUGAAUGUUUUGGCUGAUUCAGGGCAUGA
rnacentral:misc_RNA from 1 species